CCGAAAUCUAUUGUAGUAUAAAUCACACAGUGUGACCAAUAUACACAUCAAUAAACCAUAUUAUACUUACCUAUCCCAGUCAAAUUAUCGAUUUGUGUAUCUACCGACGACCGACUAGCCGCAAAUUCACACACACACACACAGAGUAAUUUAAAAUAAAUGUGGAUAAAUCGAAAAACGUAUUAGGAAACUUUUGUUCGUACACCUUCAUGUAUAAUGAAUCUGUUUUCACAUUUUUGACUUUCGAAUUUUCCGACAGUUUUCCAGACCUAUCAUAACUUUUGGGAUGAGAAAAAUUGUCAAAAUAUUGAAAAACGCAUGAAGAAACGUUUCUAACAAAAAUCAAAAUAAAUUUAACGUAAAGAAAAAAAAAUUUUCCAAACUAGUUAACACUUAAUUAUAAGCAGGUACCUAAUUAAUAAAUAAAACUAUGUUUAAUACUAUGGUCAACUAUAAUUGAUGUGAAUAUAUUCACUGAUACCGGUUAACUACUUAUAUUUUUAUUAUUAGAGUUGUUAUACCAAAAUUGCAUUGUUAUAUUAUUGUCAUAGUAUUGAUAUAGAAUGUGGUUUUUCAGAGUUUGUAUUUACUAUUUACUGUAUAAUAUGCAAUAACAAUUAUAAUAUAUAAAAUUCUUGUUAUAUGUAUAUUUUAUUACUAUUUAUUGUAUUAUUUUUUUUUUCGUGACGGCCAUAUGGUGGCGUCCAAACGGCAACGUUCAAAUGGCGGCGUCCAUAUUUCCUAGACCUAUAACUCCUAAGCGUAAUUAUAAAAAGAUAUUGGACUUAUUAUAGACUUUUUUUUAAAAAUAGGUAUGUAAGAGUUUGCAAGGCUGACUGGUUUCUAAAAGUUUGAAAACAAGCAAGGAAAAAAAGUCUUAUGAUAAUGAGGACGAGUGCAGCCACUGUUAUAGAUAAUUUAAC